UGAGAUUCAGAAAUGAGUUGAGAUGGUUUGUGAAUAAAAGUAACAUUUGGAGAUCUCAUGUGCCUUCUAAAAUAGCCUUUUUUGUAUGGAAUGCAGCUCUUGGAAAGAUUUUAACUACGGACAAUUUGAGGAAGAGGGGAUGUGUAGUGAUGAAGUGGUGCUAUAUGUGCAAAAAGAAUGGAGAAUCUGUGGACCACCUCUUACUUCAUUGUGAGGUAACAAGGGUGUUGUGGGACGAGAUCUUUCAAAGGGUCGAUGUUGCUUGGGUUAUGCCUUUGAGAGUGGUGGAUUUGUUGGAUUGUUGGAGGAAAAUGCAAGGUUGUCCUCAAGUGGCAGCAAUGUGGAAGAUGAUCCCGUUGUGCAUCAUGUGGUGUAUUUGGUCGGAAAGGAAUGCGCGAUGUUUUGAAGAUAAGGAGUGCAGAAUGACGGAGCUAAAGAAUUUUUUUAUCCACACUUUACUGCUUUGGUUUUCAACCAUUGUUUUAAAUGGGAACAAUGUUCAUGACUUCUUGUCUUUAAUUUAUCGUUCUUAUGUAUUUAGGUAUUCUUUUGUAUACUUCUUGUGUACACGGGCUAUGCCUAUUCAUUCAUAUCAAUAAUAUUUAUCUCUUACU